GUAUAUGAUGUGCUAUAAUUUGGUGUGAUUUUUACCAUACAAAAUAUUUGGAAAGGCAAACCAACUUUGGAAAAAUUAUUCAUGUUUACCUCCACUAGUCUUUCUUAACUUUUUCAUUCAACCAUCAUCUUCCUAAAUCACAUUAUUAAUCAAUUUUCCAAAACACAAAAGAAAAAAAAAAUUCAGAAAGCAUAAUUAGCAGUAUAAAUCGUCGAGAAUAGCUUAUUACUUAGCCAAAUUUAUUUUUUAUUCUAUGUCCGAUUUGGAAAUUUUCUGAUGAUUCACAGGUUACUCUUAACUCUGUUCUACUUUAGAAAAUUCAAAGGUCCAGAUCACGUUGUUCUCAGUCGUUUUAUCAAUCAGUGGCGGAUUAGUAUGCGAGUAUGUGAAGUGAUGUUACUAAAUUUUUUAUCCGAGGAUAAAUUCUUGUAUAGUGGCCGAUGAAGAUAAUCAGUCUCCCCAUGUCCAGGUAUGCUUGAUUUAUUUAUUUUCAAUUAGAGCUAUAUACAAUUUAUCGAAGACAUCUUUAUGCAAGAAAAAGACUAAUUAUGGAAUAAACUAUAACACAAAUCAGUUGUUUUCUAAGAAAACAUAUAAAGCCAUAGAAAACAAACAAAAUAUACAAGUUUCAUCACAAUUACAACCACUCAAGCUAUAAUAAAUUCUAGCAAGCCAACUCAGAAAGAAAAAAAAAAAAUCUUUCUAGCUAGGAUGGGAAUUCUCUUCAUGGUUGGUUUGUUUGGCCAAGGGCGGGAAGAAACAACAGCCCGGCCUCUCGCCGAGCUCGCGACGUUCUAUCUCAGCUUUCCUGAGGCGAUGAAGACAAGGAACUAUUGCAACAAAGCAAAUGAAAAUAAAGAAAAUGGCAAAGACAAUAAGCAUCAUUAUCUGGCCAUGGAAAGCGUAUCGCUUAUCCCGCAAGAAGGGAAGCUGCAACUCCCCCUGUUGCGGUAGCUGGGGUGGCAUGGCAGCAGCAUCAGGUGCCAACCACAUCGGCUGUGCCUCAAAAUUCAUAUCUACCUUACCUUUGCCACACACAGACACAGUUCAUGUA